rnacentral:rRNA from 1 species
AUAUAAUUAAGCGGAGGAAAAGAAACCAAAAGGGAUACCCCUAGUAGCGGCGAGCGAAUAGGGUGGAGCCCAGCGUGAAGGGCUGCCGUCGAAAGGCGUGCAGCCGGUGCCACGUGUAUGUCGUAGUGCUAACCGUGAGUCUCUCGGCGCUGCGAGUUCCCCUGACAGGGACUUCUUUCCAAAGUGGGUGCUAGGCCCAUAGCGGACGUUGAGGGCUUUCGCUAGCUGCGUCAUAAUAGAGUCGGGUUGCUUGAGAGUGCACUAA